GACGAACGCUGGCGGCGUGCUUAACACAUGCAAGUCGAACGGAAAGGCCCGGCUUUUGUGGGGUCCGCGAGGGGCGAACGGGUGAGUUACCCGUGAGUAAGCUGCCCUUGACUUUGGGAUAUCUUCAGAAAAGUGGGGCUAAUACCGGCUAGGAGCUACCGCUGCAUGGUGGGGGUUGGAUAGUUUAGGCGGUUGGGGGUGGAAUCGCGGCUUAUUAGCUUGUUGGUUGGGUAGUGGCCUAGCAAGGCCUUGACAGGUAGCCGGCCUGAGAGGAGGACCUGCCACAUUACGACUGAGAUGCGGCCCAGACUCGAACGGUAGGCAACGGUGGAGAGUAUUACACAGUGGGCGGGAGCCUGAUCUGGUCCCGCCGCGCGCGGUAAGACGGCCAUCGGGUUGUAAACCGCAUUCGCCUGUGACGAAGCGUUAAUGACGGUAACGGGUAAAGAAGCACCGGCUAACUACGUG
rnacentral:rRNA from 1 species